rnacentral:rRNA from 1 species
UGCAGUCGAGCGGCAGCGCGGGGGCAACCCUGGCGGCGAGCGGCGGACGGGUGAGUAAUACAUCGGAACGUGUCCCGUAGUGGGGGAUAGCUCGGCGAAAGCCGGAUUAAUACCGCAUAUGCUCUACGGAGGAAAGCGGGGGAUCCGCAAGGACCUCGCGCUAUGGGAGCGGCCGAUGUCCGAUUAGCUUGUUGGCGGGGUAAAGGCCCACCAAGGCGACGAUCGGUAGCUGGUCUGAGAGGAUGAUCAGCCACACUGGGACUGAGACACGGCCCAGACUCCUACGGGAGGCAGCAGUGGGGAAUUUUGGACAAUGGGGGAAACCCUGAUCCAGCCAUGCCGCGUGAGUGAAGAAGGCCUUCGGGUUGUAAAGCUCUUUUGGCCGGAAAGAAAAGGCUACGGAUAAUACCUGUGGUCUUUGACGGUACCGGCAGAAUAAGCACCGGCUAACUACGUGCCAGCAGCCGCGGUAAUACGUAGGGUGCGAGCGUUAAUCGGAAUUACUGGGCGUAAAGCGUGCGUAGGCGGUCCCGCAAGUCCGCUGUGAAAGCCCCGGGCUUAACCUGGGAACUGCAGUGGAAACUAUGGGACUUGAAUCCGGCAGAG